AAAAUACAUGAAUCCAUAGUUGAUCUAGUCACAUCAAAUGGAUCUUACCUUUAAGGUUUGAACGAGCUCUGAAUAUGCUAAGAGUACUGACAGAGAAGGAGACAUUUAAGACUCUAAGAAAGCUCUGCCAGGGGAAGCGUCGCGACGCGAA